rnacentral:snoRNA from 1 species
GUAGCCCUUGAAUCUCUCCCAGGCUUCACUGAAUCCUUCCAAGUUCUUCUGUUGAAAGCUGGAAAUCUCAUUUU